GAUGGUGCAUCAAUUCAGACAACUGGAUGCAAAGCUCUCUGAUUUGAAGGGCCUUCUGAAAGAGAUUUCCAGUAAAAUUAAAUGAGUGGAGCAGAAAUUCAAGAGCAGCUACUGGAGCAGGGUACCAAUUCAUGAAGAAUAAUUGCUCAGAGCUGGCAGCAACCCCCAAGCAGAUGGUAACAGAGGCAUCAGAGUAUCAAUGUCUCAGCAGGAGUCAGCAGGAUUUUCUUGCAAUUUUUAUUUUUGUUGAUCAAACAGCCCUUUCUGCUUGUUGCAAGGUUGUGGUGAAACUGGAGAUGACUGCUUAUCUCCUGACAUGAUUCCUGUGUUACCCAAACUCUUCUCAUCUGCCCUAAGGUCCAGUGGCAGCAAUUAGUCCUUGUUAAGCUGCUGUUGCAAAUCACUCCUAUUUCCAAGAGUUCUGCUGCUUUUGCCA